rnacentral:rRNA from 1 species
AUUGAACGCUGGCGGCAGGCCUAACACAUGCAAGUCGAACGGUAACAGGAAGCAGCUUGCUGCUUCGCUGACGAGUGGCGGACGGGUGAGUAAUGUCUGGGAAGCUGCCUGAUGGAGGGGGAUAACUACUGGAAACGGUAGCUAAUACCGCAUAAUGUCGCAAGACCAAAGAGGGGGACCUUCGGGCCUCUUGCCAUCGGAUGUGCCCAGAUGGGAUUAGCUUGUUGGUGGGGUAACGGCUCACCAGGGCGACGAUCCCUAGCUGGUCUGAGAGGAUGACCAGCCACACUGGAACUGAGACACGGUCCAGACUCCUACGGGAGGCAGCAGUGGGGAAUAUUGCACAAUGGGCGCAAGCCUGAUGCAGCCAUGCCGCGUGUAUGAAGAAGGCCUUCGGGUUGUAAAGUACUUUCAGCGGGGAGGAAGGGAGUAAAGUUAAUACCUUUGCUCAUUGACGUUACCCGCAGAAGAAGCACCGGCUAACUCCGUG